GAUGAACGCUGGCGGCGUGCCUAAUACAUGCAAGUCGAGCGAACAGAUGAGGAGCUUGCUCCUCUGACGUUAGCGGCGGACGGGUGAGUAACACGUGGAUAACCUACCUAUAAGACUGGGAUAACUUCGGGAAACCGGAGCUAAUACCGGAUAAUAUAUUGAACCGCAUGGUUCAAUAGUGAAAGACGGUUUUGCUGUCACUUAUAGAUGGAUCCGCGCCGCAUUAGCUAGUUGGUAAGGUAACGGCUUACCAAGGCAACGAUGCGUAGCCGACCUGAGAGGGGGAACCGGCCCACCGGAAACUAGACACGGGUCCGACUCCCUAGGGGGGCCAGAGUGGGGAAUUUUGCCCAAUGGGGGAAAGCCUUAGCGGGCCAACCCGCGGGGGGGAAGAAGGUUUUUGGAUUCGAAAACCUCUUUUGUUGGGAAAAAAAAAAUGUAGAAAAAACUUUGCCCUUUUUAACGGUCCCAAAGAAGAAAGCCACGGCAACCUCCGG
rnacentral:rRNA from 1 species